AACGCGAAGAACCUUACCUGGACUCGAAAUGCAGUUGACCGCCUCAGAGAUGAGGUUUUCCCGCAAGGGACUACUGUAUAGGUGCUGCAUGGCUGUCGUCAGCUCGUGUCGUGAGAUGUUGGGUUAAGUCCCGCAACGAGCGCAACCCUCAUCCUUAGUUGCUCGCCCGAAAGGGAAGCACCCUAAGGAAACUGCCUCCGAUAAGGGGGAGGAAGGUGGGGAUGACGUCAAGUCCUCAUGGCCUUUAUGCCCAGGGCUACACACGUGCUACAAUGGCCGGUACAGAGGGCUGCAAGACCGUAAGGUGGAGCAAAUCCCAGAAAGCCGAUCUCAGUUCAGAUUGUGGACUGCAACUCGUCCACAUGAAGUCGGAAUUGCUAGUAAUGGCGCGUCAGCAACAGCGCCGUGAAUACGUUCCCGGGCCUUGUACACACCGACGCGUA
rnacentral:rRNA from 1 species